GUAGGCGGUUUAAUAAGUGAAUAGUGAAACCUGGUGGCUCAACCAUACAGACUAUUAUUCAAACUGUUAAACUCGAGAAUGGUAGAGGUAACUGGAAUUUCUAGUGUAGGAGUGAAAUCCGUAGAUAUUAGAAGGAACACCGAUGGCGUAGGCAGGUUACUGGGCCAUUUCUGACGCUAAGGCACGAAAGCGUGGGGAGCGAACCGGAUUAGAUACCCGGGUAGUCCACGCCGUAAACGAUGGAUACUAGCUGUUGGAGGUAUCGACCCCUUCAGUAGCGAAGCUAACGCGUUAAGUAUCCCGCCUGUGGAGUACGGCCGCANGGCUAAAACAUAAAGGAAUUGACGGGGACCCGCACAAGCGGUGGANUAUGUUCUUUAAUUCGAUGAUAACCGAAGAACCUUACCAGGGCUUGACAUCCAGGGAAGGUCUGCGAAAGUAGACUGUGCCUUUUGGAACCCUGUGACAGGUGAUGCAUGGCCGUCGUCAGCUCGUGUCGUGAGAUGUUAGGUUAAGUCCNUCAACGAGCGCAACCCUUNUGAAUAGUUGNAUUUUUCUANUCAGACUGCCUCGGUAACGGGGAGGAAGGAGGGGANGAUGUCAGGUCANUAUUUCCCUUACGUCCUGGGCUACAAACGNACUACAAUGGCUAGUACAAUG
rnacentral:rRNA from 1 species